UUUAAUCAAUUUUAAUGUGUUAUUUUCCAAGAACAUUAGUAGAUGCUGUCAAUUUUCAAAAAUUGGAUCCCGAUCGUGGUAUGGGCAUGCCACUUUUAGUGUUGCCAUUUUUCUUCACAAAACCAAUCCAACACCUAACCCAAUCUUCAUAACUUACAAAAUAAAUUAAAAAGCCCAAAACACACCCGAAUCAAAUCAACCCAAAUUAAAAAUCCCAAACUAGCCCAAGAAAAAAAUGAAAAAAAACCUCAAGUAGCCCAAACCGGCCAACCUUUCCUUUGCUUUCUUUUUUCCUUUUUAUCUUCUUCUUCUUCCCCAAACUCUCCUUAAACAAAAACCUAAAAUUUACCCUUUCCCAACGCUGCCCCCAUUGUUGAACUCUGCCAACCGUUGCCGCCAUUCAUCUUCCUUUCCUCACGUCUGAAAACACCCCACGCACCACUGUGUCUACUCCCCACCAAAACGCCGCCGAUUGGAGAAGCACCACAACUUAUUUUCACUAUUUUCUCCAUCAUCAAUCAACCUCCAUUUUCACUGUGCACUAUCGUUGUUCGCAUUUCUCACCGUCGAACCUUCAUCAACUAACUACCACUUCUUCAAAACCUAACCACCACCCUACCUUACCCCUUUCCUCCAUUAACGCCACCACUUUUAAAACCCACCACUACCUUAGAAACACCAUCGCAACCUUCUAUACAACUACCCAAACGCCAUUUUCUGCCAUUUGAGCCAUCGUCACCGCCGUGUGCAAUCUUAAAUGCAAAUCGUCGCUUGCUUCUCGAGCCCAAAUGAAGGCUAUUGUUCACACUAAAAACUAAUCGACCGAUAAGGUUUUGAUUUCUUUUAACCGAGUUCGAAAUCAAUUUUUAGCACCACCAAUACAUUUUGCUGGAUCGAGGUGACACCGACGUUGAAGAAGUCCGAUACCAGUUGAACUGGAAGACCCACAAGUUCGCUCAGACGCUUCUGAUGAAAUAAGGUAUAUGAACUGCUCGAAGUAAUAGAGUGUUUUGACAAACACACAAUCCGACUCCUAGAGAGCAAAAGGAGCAGCCCCUUGUACUGUGGAAGAACAACUAAAUCGCAUUGAGGCUCACCCAGAAACAAUGGAAGCCAACAUCUCAAACAUCCUCACAAUACUGUGAAGUGGUCGCUUCCACCAUCCUUCGCCUCAUUAAACAUACACCGGGAGUACAUUUGACCCUUCUCUUUCUUUUUUUUAUUCUUUUAUUUUUACACAUUGAGGGCAAUGUGGGAUAAGUAUUGGAUUAGUAAGUAUGCAUGAUUUUUUCUUUUACGCAUGUGUUAGUUCUUAUGUUGGGAUUAUUCAUUAAGUUGUUUGACAUUGAGCCUCUAAUUCCUAUGCUUAAUCAAUUUCAAUUGUUUGGUGGUUCUUGAAUUAAAAUGUUCAUUAUCUAGUUUAAUCAACGUGUGUUAUAAACUUGAAAUAUUGUAAUUAGAUUGUUUCAUGAAAA